rnacentral:rRNA from 1 species
GACGAACGCUGGCGGCGUGCUUAACACAUGCAAGUCGAACGGAAAGGCCCUGCUUGCAGGGUACUCGAGUGGCGAACGGGUGAGUAACACGUGGGUGAUCUGCCCUGCACUUCGGGAUAAGCUUGGGAAACUGGGUCUAAUACCGGAUAGGAGCCAUCUUAGUGUGGUGGUUGGAAAGUUUUUUCGGUGUAGGAUGAGCUCGCGGCCUAUCAGCUUGUUGGUGGGGUAAUGGCCUACCAAGGCGGCGACGGGUAGCCGGCCUGAGAGGGUGUACGGCCACAUUGGGACUGAGAUACGGCCCAGACUCCUACGGGAGGCAGCAGUGGGGAAUAUUGCACAAUGGGCGCAAGCCUGAUGCAGCGACGCCGCGUGGGGGAUGAAGGCCUUCGGGUUGUAAACUCCUUUCGCUAGGGACGAAGCUUUGUUGUGACGGUACCUAGAUAAGAAGCACCGGCUAACUACGUG